CCUCACAGCUCACGUCACCAUCUUGCAGGGGUGUGCAGGGGCUGGAGGCCACCACUGCCCAGGCCUGCUGCCUGAGGAGGUCGGCUCGGCGCUGCGGCUGCCACGGGAAGUCCAUGCCCUCAGCCUUCUCCUCACGUCCAUCCGGCAUGUCCCCAAGAGCAUGUGAGGAGCCUGGGCAGCGCUGGGGCUGCUGCUGGCCCUGCACGGCAGGCGUGCACCACCAGCACACCAUGGAGCAGGUCACCACCUGCUCCAGGGAGGCCCACAACCCUCCCCACCUUUAUGGCCUUUGCCAAAAUUGGGUAGGAAGUGUCUCUUGGCUCCACGCCAGGUUAAAGCUUUGAAGCCUGUGGCUGAUGGGUGCUGGCUUUGGCCACCCCUUUAGCCAAGCGCGUAUGAAACAGCACUGGGUUCAGCACUGCAAGCUGUGCUGCUCCUCCUGCACCAGCCGGAUCGCGUCCAGCGCUAGCAUCGGAGCGUGGUACAUAUAAAACCUCACGGAAAUUAAGAGUCCUUCUGCUGAGAGUCAUAAAAUGUAAUCAGUUCCAGUGGGGGUCAAACAACAAAAUGCUCCUGGGAAUAAUUUGGACUUUGUUUCUUCAGUUAACCAGAAUGAAUCUACUAGUGAUUCAUAUUUCAAUGGUGUAUAGACCUUGUGCAUGUGACCAUCCUUUGUUCUAAAAUUAAGUCUGUCCCUUCUCUGUCUUUAUUUUGUAAACUAUCAGUUCAUAAGGAUUUAGGGAAAGAUAAAAGCUCCUGUAAAUUGUUAUGGUUUCACAGUGUUAGGGAAUGCAGAACAGAACUUUCUUGAUUUUUUUUAACACAUUCUACCCCUAAAUCCUACUCUUAGAUGUAGCAUAAGCUUUGCAUGCAGACCAGACCAUGAACUAGUUUAACUAGUGUUAUUUUGGCAUCAGUUUAGUGGCUGUGCUGAGAACUGUCAGGUGGACACAUUGAGAAACAAGGUGUAAACACUACAUUAGCACAUUAACACAGAGUUUUAAAGGUAUUUAGUUAAGUAGGAGUAAAAAGGGGUCUAGAUGAGCCAGUGAAAGCUUUGUGCAUAGACUAGUUUUUCCUUUUGUCUGGAUUUGGCUUGUGUAGGAACUUCGCUUAAUUCUGUAUCAGAUGACUGGUGUAAAUAUAUGCCUGUCCCACCAAAGGGAAAUUUGCCUCAAAGUAUCUGAAAUAUGUGUCCUAGUAGGUUUCCCUCCUACAGUAGUAGCGAAGAUAAAAAUCCAUCUGUGUCAGCUGACUUACACGCUGUUUCCUUUACACUUAGGUGUAAUGUAUUAAUUCCUUUGACAAUCAAUAACUAUGUAUUUCAAUAGAUAAUUAUUUUCUCCAGAUGAAUAUGUUUUAAAGCCUUUGCAAAAUGUCUGCAAGGGGAAAAGCUUUGAACUUUGUCUGCAAGGGGGAAAGUGUUAGAACUUCUAAAGAAAUUGAAUGAAGAGUCCACAGUAAGAUGAAAAAGUAUUUAGAAGGAUAGAAUGUUACCCACAUAAGUUCAAUUAUACUAAAAUUACCCGUGUGUUCAUUAUGAAACCUGAUUAUCUUUUCCUAAUAAAAAUAAUAUGGAUGAGUAAGAUAUGCAAUUUUUCUGAAGGAAUAUGGUCAGAAUCUUUAAAGAUUCAGUGGUGCUCAGUAUGUCCAAACACUGGAGCAGCUGUAACAUCAGGACACAAAGGCCAACAAGCGAGAACGCAGCACCUAGGAAUGUAAUUAAGGUAAAAUAAAAGGUGGUUAUAUGGGUUCCAUUGUAGUUGCUAUUUAAAUAAUCCUAUCUGAACUGCACCACUGUACAAAAAAAAUAAUCAAGUCUUGCAGGUUUGCGCUUAUGCAACUUGAAAACAAAAUCUAUCAGUUGAGCCAGGUCCUUGGCACUACUCCAACAGUUCAAAACAGGUCUAGAGCCAGCUUAACUGCCCCAGCCAUAAGUAUUUUCACUUCUCCAGAAACAGCUCUGCCAGGCAUAGGCCUGCUGAGACAGGGUGCACUUCCUUACUUCUGAACUCUGCCUCCCAGAACACAGAAACAAAAGGCAUGGGAAGCAUGGACCUGCUCUGCAGUGUAUCUCUGCCACCAGAAUGCUCCCCCUGGGCUAGGAAUAGCUGAUUAAUUCUUUAAACAACAAAACAAGUUCCAAGAUAAUUAAACAAAAUGUUUGUCAUAUCUUUCUUCUCCUAUCCUCCAUUUUGUUUUUUGGGGUUUGUUUGUUUGUUUGUUUGUUUUUGUUUUGGUUUGUGUUUUUUAGUUCUUCAUCUUUGGAGAUAGGAUAGAAUAAGCAUUGAGAAACUAAUGUCAGCUGGCAGGGUUUGGGCAUGUUUGCUUUUCCUUGGUCUUUAGUGAAUCUAAGGUAUCAUUUUAGAAUUCCUGUUGCUUGUUUUAUACAAACAUGCUCUCAAGCUUCUGUCUAGUGAGGAAGUAAUGACAAUUUGUGGAGUAAUAAAAAGGAGUCAACAUUUUACAAUGUUGAAAAUUGUUAAUAAUCAAUAUUAAAAAGUUUUAAUCUGCUGACAGUCAUCUACUUGUUUUAUGCAUCUGGCUGCCCUGCUGUCUUAUCUUUCAGGCUAAGUGGAGUCUGCUCUGAGCUAUGUGUCUUUGUACAGUGGUUACUCUGGAAACAUGGAGGUAGCAGCUCUCCAAAGCAAGGGCUUGAGCCAUUGCUGAAGGCCUGAGCAAGAAGUAGUCCAGGCAGUACAUGUGAUUUUCCCAGGUUGAUGUGAAUGAAUUAAGAGCAAAGACACUGCCUCUAGGAGCAAAAAACCCUACCAGCCCCAAAACAAAACAGAACAAAAACUCAACCCUCUGUCUAGCAGUUGCCUAGAGCAAGGGGAUGGAAAUUUUGGUUUUGUGUUCUUGUUGCCUAGAGUUAUGUAAAACUUUUCCCCUUUUAUUACUAGCAACAAAUCCUGGGGCUGACUGGGUAUUACACUGUGUGAGAAGGAAAAAGAAAGAAAAGAGAGAGUCAUUUGAGGCACUGAAUGGACCUGAGGACCGAGCACAGGGUUUGAGAAGAAAUUUCUUACCAUCUGUUUAUUUAAAAAACUUGAAAUGAAGGGAUAGAGUUCAUACUGCCCUAUUAUCCUCCUGACAGACAAAUUAAUUCAAACAUUCCAAUAAUGAUUUCCUAUGCCAGGAAGAAAAUGUUAUUUUUCCUUUUAUGACAAUCAGAUGUUUAGUGGGAGGAACGCUCAAUGUGCAUCUAAGAGAUAGGUGAUGCCAGUUAUGAGAAAAACGGGACUUCACACCCUCAAACUAAACCUGUUUGGUUGCCAGUACAGUAAGCUACCUGAACAGUGCAGGAAUAGGAUUAUAAUAAUUUAAAGUGUAGUAGGUAACACAUAAACCCUCUCAUCUAGAGACACCUAAACCUGUAUGGCUCGCUUAGCAAAAUGAAAUGAUGGCUAAUGUUCUUCAGACUCAGGCUUGUCUCUUUCUAUGUUUGACUGAGAAGGGAAAGACACCUGAUCCAAGACACCUGAGAAAGAUGCUGAUUUCAGCCUGUUUAAAGCUGCUUCACUGGUAUAAAUGAUCACAUUCUGUCCUCUUUUUCUGCAGAUGCAUGAAACCCUGGGUCAAAGAAAGAUUUUUAUCUGCAUCCUAUUUUGGAAGGUUAGGUAGUGACAGAGAUGAACACAUGACAACAAAAAAAUUAAAAGGCAACACAGGUACCUGUUUGAAAUUACACUUUUCAUUGUUUCAACAUUCACCUUCUAAUGUGCUCCAUCUCCUUAUUACUUUAUGUGAACCUUGUCUCAGAAAAAGAUAAGAAAAAUGUUAUGCACCAGGUGAUUCAGAUGGCUCCCUAUUCUGACACUUUGCAAAGUAAGUGGUGUAUAGAUGUUAUCUGUACAAGGUGGACUUCACCUUGCCUUUCACCACUCAAUUUCAAAAAUAAUAGAUUUAUAACAUUUCUGUUAAUGUCACCCUUUUCAUCUUGGUUUUGGUUUUGUUUUUUCUCUGAACUUGUUACAGUUGUCUAGAACGUAUAGUUCCAUAAUAGUUUAUUUAGAUCAUGAGGAAAAACAAAUUGUUAAUGUUACUUUAACUGCAUUCUUAUCAAUCAGAAGCACAGUUUGGCAUUGAACUGUCAUAUCCAGCUUCACAGCAGUAGUGUACAUCAAAAGUUGGCUUGCUCUGAUGUUAUAAAAAGUUUUCAUGGGAGACAGAAUUCACAAUUCCUUGGGAUAUUUAUAGUAUUUAAGAAUGCUUUUAAGUCACUUGUAAUGGCAGAUGCCAUUGGGUACUCUGUCAUAAAUGGUUUCCUUAUUCAUAACAAGUAAUGCAUAUUGUAGUACAUUUCAAACCAGGCCCACAUUAAACUUGGUAGAAAAAAUAAAGACCACGUCUGUAUUACUGUAUGAAUUCCAUUUGGAUCUUGUUAAUGCCAUGUUGUGUUUUUUGUUUUGAAUACAGCUCCAAAGAGGGAUUUUUAGCCUUCAAUUUGAUUGUAUGGACUUCAUGAUGGGUUUCAUUGGAUUACAUCUAAAGCUCCAACCCAGGCUAAAUGGUGUUACCAUCAGGUGGAUAAUGGGCUUGUUACAACAGAACUAACCUUUGAGUGGCUUGGGCAGCAGGUCAGCAGAGUAAGAAUCCUGCUCUCCCACUGCUGGCUCCCUUCUCCCUCCCACAGGAACCUCUUCCUAUCUCUACUACACAGCCUCUCCCCAGGAGUGCUUCUCUUCCCCCAGGGGAUGUAGCUGUGGAUUGCUGCCCCUGCAAACACUGAGAGGGCCACAGUGCAUCCUGGCUUGGAUUAGAAAAGCAAGAGGGACUUGAAGGACCACUGGGACCUCUGAAGGGCUGGGAUACCAGUUCUGGAAUCUAAAUAAGCUCCAGUCACUGGUCCAGAAGGAUCCCAGUCAUGGAGUUAACAGUUGUCAAUGUGCUGAAAAACAGUUAGAAAUUACUUACCUGUAAGUGAUAGGAUCAAUUCACAACACACAACUCUUCCUAGAACAGGAGCAGCCACAUUCUAACAGAAAUUGCCAAGUUUGGUAAGAUUUGACAUUUCAUUCUGGCUUCUGCAGACUAGAAAGCCCAGUUCCCUUGGAAAUGACAGUGGCUUCUCACACAGUAUGUGUGAGGCUCCUAGCACUACUACAAGGAUUUUCACCUUCUUCACACAACACAUUUUUGUCCUUUAUGAACCAGUCCCACUUGCUGUCCCCGGCCUUACCUUUGCUUCCAGCUCUGAUCCCUUCCAACUUCUGUUCCUCACCAUACAGUCAUAAUCUUCCCUUUAAAUACGUAUGCUCAGUUGCCAGCUUUUCUUCUAGAAUGUCUGUGGCCAUUCAUUAUUGUAACUUGCACUGUAAUUAGCAAGUAACAAGUGAUUUCACAGCUGUUGAAAAACUUACAAAAAAUAAAUUUGGAACUUAAGGGGCAUGUAGAUCGAAUUAUUUACAAUCAUUGUUAAACAGGUUAAAAACCAGGUGAUUCUUCUUUAAUUUCUAUUCUUUCCUCAGCCAUUUAACAUCACAUGAGAGGAUUUUGAUUUUGUAAGUUACACAGAUCCCUUAAUCAGCAGUUCUCCCCCAUCUCAUAAAAAUCAAAGAGUCUGGACUGGGAGCUUCUCACACGUUGAGGCCUCUAGUCCAAACAUCUUAAGAACUGUUGGUAUAAUCCACACUGGGAAGAUGUAGCUCUGCUGAUUUCUGAGGGUUUUUUUCCUCAGCUUUAUGUUUUUUGGGUUUUUAAUUGUAAUACAUUUAUGUAGAACUAAGCAGAUAAGACUCUGUGUGGUUGCCUCAACGUGCCACUUGAGUCAGUCUGGCUUCAUGAAAGCAUUGAAUUGACACCCAUCUUAGUUUACAGUUCUACUUGUUGCUGCUGAGUCCUCCCUACCGCAAUCAUUCCACAGGCUCAUAACUCAACAACCUGUCCUUUUUCCUGUCAACACAGCUUUCCUCUCAAAAAUGUUGUUAACAAAACAAAUACCUUCAAAGAGGAUGAGACUGCUAUUGCAUGCGUAGAUUUUUUUAAAAAGUCAGUAAUUUGCUGAGGUGAUGAGAAUUUGGGGGAUUCUGUGUUAUAAAUACACGGGUGUUUACAGUACAUGUAUGAGUUUCUUGUAGACAAAGUCAGCACUCAGGAGACUUCAGCAUAUAGAUAGAAAUACAAACAGGUGAUGUUUAGUUCUGUCCUAGAGAAUUAUGUACCAGACACAGAGACUGGAGGUUCUAUUUUUUAACAGAUGUUUGAAUUCUCCACCAUUUAAAAUGCUGUAGAUGAGGUAGGGGCUGAAAAAGGCAGAUUCUGAUGGCAAAGGGAACCUUUAUAUUGCUGCUAGCCUACAGUUUUCACUUACUGUUUUUGAUUAUUCUUGAAUUGUAUAUUAGGUAUGGCUUAUUCAGGUGUUUCUCAAGGGCAAUGAGUGUUUUGUUUCAGCAGAGUGUAAAGGUUACCAAAAGAGUGACUCUUAGAAAGUAACAAUUAAGUAGAGAAAUUUAGAUUUCAUUUACAGGAAACUAUUUGUGAGAUGUAUCAUCACUCAGAGAACAGACUUAGGUUGGCAUAAGCUUAAUGGCUUUCUGAUGUUAGGCAUGGUAUAGAUCUGAAUGUGAUUAAGUUAACAGGAAUUCUGCCACUCUUUGGUGACAAUGACCUUGAGUCCUGAACUGAAAAAUAAGAACAUCUUAGGAAGAGAGUACUCUGAAUAAUUGAAGUAAAAUAUUAGAAAAUUUCAGGAUAAAUGGGAAGAGCAGACCUCAGGAUGAGUAGUUAAAAAGAACUACAACUGAUUAUUAUGCAAAAACUGAGAAGCUUAAAAAAAUCCUUAAUGUUACAGGUACCAUUUUUAGUCUUCUGGCCACCUUAUUUCUAUGUGAUGGCAUAAUUAACAUAACUAUGGAGGCAAAUUUCUUUUAAACUGCUUUACUCUUAGCAAUGCUAUCAGCCCUAGCAGAAUCUCUAAACCUAGUUUUCAGCCUAUUAGUACAGGAAUAAUUUGUUUCUCAACUGUUACUUUGAAACAUAUUGAUUUUUCAGCCUACACAUGCUUUUACUUGUUUGUGAUCUUAUCUUACUCAAAUUUCAGAACCACACAAUUGACUGCUAAGAUAAAGAAUGCAAAAUUAUUCACCCAGUUUGGCUUCAGACAAACAAAUGGAACUCAACACAAACAAAGAGAGUUGUAUCCAAGCAUUAUUUGCCUGAGUUCUUAAUAUUUCAAUACUUUGUGGAAAAAGCAAGUUGGGUAACAAGCUGUUUUGACUUCACUUCCAGUACACUUUCUGGUUUCUCUAGUCUCCAAAGCCAAGAAUCCUGUCUAAAGAUGCCACAAAGCUUCAGCAUGCUUAGGGCAAGACAGUGCUGUGUUCUUUUUCAAUCUUUUGUUGCUACACUUUGGAAUAAAAUAAAAGUUUUACCAUAGUGUAUAAAAUAAAAGCAGUCUAAGAUGUUACCUAAAUCCCCCACACUUAUUUCAUAUGUGAUUUAUGCUUAGAGGAAAGAACCUUGAGGUGGAACUGGUUACAUUUGCAUUUUCUGCUGAAAUAAUUCUGAGUUUGAAGCAUGUCAUUAGGAGCACCCCGCUUGGACAAAUUUUCAGCAAUCAGAGCUGCAGUCUGAUUGAAAUCUCCCCAAAAUGGGGCACCUCAGCCACCAGGUCUCUGGUCUUCAACCUGUUGACAAAUGGCCUGUGCACAGAGCAUCCAGAUCAUCCAUCUCAGUGUCAGCUGACACAACUUCCUCAAAGAACAAUUGGGAUUUUUCUGGGAAAACUCAACCCUUGCAAGUGCCCAUCCUGGCAUGAGACUGUUGCUCCACUGUUAUGUAGGAAACGGGACCAGCUUUGUGGAGAGCAGCCUCUUGCCUGCUCCAGGUUAUUGAACCAGCAGCUUGAAAGCCAAGCUCCCACAGCCCCAGAAACAUCCUGAGAGUCUGCAAGCCUGAACUGUGGCCCUGUGAAGGACUGCACUUUCGAGCUAAGUAAAAUAUUUUUGAUUAAUUGUCUUCAUUUUGUAGCAACUUGUUUGUCUGCAUCAGUACCAGGGGGGACAGGACUGACUUUUUGAACAACUUUUGUUUGUCCCCAGCAGGCCUUGAUACUCCUUGCCCAUGUUAUGCAAGGCUGGCCUACCCUGCAGGUGACAGAAUUGUCUGAAGUACUAACACCACCUUUCUUUACAGACAGGGCCACUCUUUCAAUGACAACUGAAUGGAAAGUGUUUGUCCAUUUCUGUUUUCUUUUAACUUCCUCUGCAGAGAUCUGGAGAGUGCCUGCCUAUAAAUACUUGCUUAUAGGGUACUUGGGAAACUACUGUCUUCCACAGGGAUCAUGUUUUCAAGUAAUAUUUUACAGAGAGGUAAUAAAGGACCUGAAUUUAAUUUUUCUGCAUCAGCAUCUCAGUCAUUCAUUACUUUGACCAGGUGGAAAAGUCUCAUCACAAAAUAAAGGCAGCAGUAUAAAGUGAUGGUUUCAGAGAAAGCAGGAUCCCAAAGCUAAAGGGCUCACAGUGUAAUGGAGAUAAGCAAUCUUUUCCAAAUCAAAAUAAGUAGUGAUAUCCACCAAAUAUGAUAUGCAAAUUUUCAAGCCUUACUAUAAAAACUUUUCCAUUCAAUUCUGAAUGUGUUUCAGACUGGUCUAUGAAGCAAAAAAUAUGUAUUAAAACAGAGACUAGAAUGUGUGACUGAAUUCCAAUUCAGUCUUUGCAACUGAAUUCCAGACAUCAUAGAAUGAUUUUCAAGAUGUUACUCAAAGCAAUGGAAUAUGUAUUUAAAAGCAAGCUUAAUCUUGACUGCAUUUUGAAUGAAAACAUUCGGAAAUUCAUGCUAAUGCAUUUUUUUAUUACACUUUAAUUUUUUUACAGUAUUCAAAAAAACAAUUGGAAAUUAAAGGCUGCAGUCCUGCAAAUAUCACCAUUAACUUUAAUAAAACUACCAGCAUGCUGUUAGGGGCUGCUAAGUACCAGAAUUAAUAAAUGUAUAUUUUCUUAAAAGUCUUUGCUGAAGCAGUACAAAACUGUGUCAGCAUUAACAAUGAAAUCCUUCCAAUUUUUCAAGAUGUUGAUGAAAGUAUCAUGAAUUUUUGAAUAUACAUAUCAAUCAAAACAACCAGCCAAAAAAAAUUAAAGUUUUGGGAAAGACCAGACCUUUAUUUGACAAUACACUGCACAGAAAUGGUUAGGACUCCCUGAAAUGGAUGCAAAAGAUUUGCUGUGAACGGCUCACUUUGCUUUUGAGAAGUACAAGAGACAAAGAGUAUUCCCAAAAAAAUCACCAUGUGUUUCACAGCCCCUAGAGAACAUGGAAAAAAGACUUUAGAAAUGUUUGUCCAGAGAAAGCACAUAGAGAGUUUAAAUCAGUUUCAGUAAACCUUGUAAUAAGUUUCACUGUAUUAUUUUAAAGAUUAUUUAAGAAACUUAACCUAUAAUAGUAGUUUUUACAGUACUGUCAUUCCUGAGUAAGAAUUACUAAUUUCUUGGUGCUGUUAAUAUACAUUUGUUAAUUGGAAAAUGGUGGUCAGAGAGAAUGUCGGAAAUAUUUUUUUUUUUAAAUCUUGUGCUAUACUUAGCCAUUUUUCCUCUUCUGGGUGAAAGAGUAGUGGUAGCUUUCAUUCUUUGCCCUCAUUACUCCAUGAAAUUAUUAUUCUGUGUGUGAUUAUCUUUCAAUCCAAAUUGUACCUCACUCACGACACAAGGGUGGUAGGAGCAUUCUGCCAGAAAGCAAAAGAAAAAAAGCUAUAGAAGGACUAUCUAAGUGAAAAUGUUUGCAAGUCAAAGGGAGGGCACGUUUAACUUCACAAAAGAAAAUGCUGGUUUCUGUUGUAAUAUUGGUUACACAAUCACAUAAGGUUUUAUUUUUAAAAGCAAGUAAAAAAAUUAUAGUGCAUCAGCUCUUUGACUGGUGUAAAUCAAGAUGGUUUUAUUGACUUUGAUGGAGCUAUGUCGAUUUAUACCAGAUGAGGAUUUGGCCUACUGUAUGGAGAUAUUUUUAUUUCUCUUCUCACUCUAUCAGUUAAAGAAAGGGUAAUAAUCAGCAAGCUGGAAGCAAUUAUGCGUGUGUGAGGAGGGGGUAGUUUCAUAAUAGCUAACUUGAUAUUAUUUCCUGUAAAAUGCAUCAGGAGACUAAAGCCUGGAGCCUGCUGACCAGUUUGUUUUGUAAAGAAAUAUUUGUUCAAAUCUGUUUAUAAUAAUUUGUCAAAUUAUGGGCAGAUUCAGCUGAAGCACUUGCCUUCCACUGACACCAGAGGCAGCAGUUCUGGAGCUGAUCAGGGCACCAAGUGGCACCCAUGAGGGAAGACCCAGGCAAAAUUUGGCUUUCACUUGCAUCUGUGUAAAUCUGGAAUAAUUCUACCAAAAUCGGUGGAAAUAUUUUCUAUUUACAAGUGUGCCUAAAAGCAAAAUUUGGCACCAUCUUCAACUGAGCAUUUAUAAGCUGUUUCUGGCAACAAAUAAGGAUGGGGGAGGGGAAGAUUAUUCAUUGCAGAUGCUUUGUAAGAUUACCAGAGGCUUUCUGGUGACAAUAAAGUCUACUAACAUAGGCACUUUUGGAAAAUGCUUUUGAAAAUGUGAUUUGAGGGUGUUUCCUGUUAUCCUUUAAUUCUUACAUCAUUUCAUGGUGGUAAAAAAUACUAACCAAGACCUCAAGUGAAAUUACUUAAAUUGUUCUCCUUACUGUGGUGAGGCAGAUGAGUCCCAACCUGCAAUACCAAGUGGACCAAAGCAAUUCAUGGCAAGCUAAGAUUUCUGUGAAAUCAUCUUGGAUGAAUGCAUUUCAUAAGGUGCAGUUUAAUUAUUGUUAAGCAGCCACACAUUGACAAGGGAGCUGAAGACAAAACAAUCACAACUAAAAUAAACUGAAAGAUUUGGGAAUUUAUUUUUAAGUUACAAUGCAGAUUAUUCUAAAGUACCAAUAUUAGCACUAUAAACACUAAAGUAUACCAACCAGCUUUUGCAAUAUAGCUCAUUCAUCUGAUCUCUUUGCUCUCAGGAAUUAUUUAAUUUUUGCAAAGUUUUUGUGAUGUUUUAACUUAAGAAUAUAAAUAAAGUGACUUCCUGUCCCACUAGGGUGAACAUAGUUAUACUAGGCUAAUGGUGCUUUUAGCACUAUAGCUUAUACACAUUUAACUACCUCUUUUUGAACUGAUCUACAGGUAAAUGAA